ACGAUUCUGGUUCUUCUCCUUCU
rnacentral:siRNA from 1 species